rnacentral:tRNA from 1 species
UAGCAUGUCAGAUUGUAUGAGUUAAAUUUAAGUUUUAAUUAUUAGGCUAC